rnacentral:rRNA from 1 species
UGGUGGAGUGAUUUGUCUGGUUAAUUCCGUUAACGAACGAGACCGCAGCCUGCUAAAUAAUCACAGUAAUGAUUUUUCAUUGCUGAUGGUUUCUUAGAGGGACAUGUAGUAUAAAACUACAGGAAGAUUGCGGUAAUAACA